rnacentral:rRNA from 1 species
GUGAACUCGAAGAGUAGGGCGGGACACGUGGUAUCCUGUCUGAAUAUGGGGGGACCAUCCUCCAAGGCUAAAUACUCCUGACUGACCGAUAGUGAACCAGUACCGUGAGGGAAAGGCGAAAAGAACCCCGGCGAGGGGAGUGAAAAAGAACCUGAAACCGUGUACGUACAAGCAGUGGGAGCACCUUCGGGUGUGACUGCGUACCUUUUGUAUAAUGGGUCAGCGACUUAUAUUCUGUAGCAAGGUUAACCGUAUAGGGGAGCCGCAGGGAAACCGAGUCUUAACUGGGCGUUAAGUUGCAGGGUAUAGACCCGAAACCCGGUGAUCUAGCCAUGGGCAGGUUGAAGGUUGGGUAACACUAACUGGAGGACCGAACCGACUAAUGUUGAAAAAUUAGCGGAUGACUUGUGGCUGGGGGUGAAAGGCCAAUCAAACCGGGAGAUAGCUGGUUCUCCCCGAAAGCUAUUUAGGUAGCGCCUCGUGAANUCAUCUUCGGGGGUAGAGCACUGUUUCGGCUAGGGGGUCAUCCCGACUUACCAACCCGAUGCAAACUACGAAUACCGAAGAAUGUUAUCACGGGAGACACACGGCGGGUGCUAACGUCCGUCGUGAAGAGGGAAACAACCCAGACCGCCAGCUAAGGUCCCAAAGUCAUGGUUAAGUGGGAAACGAUGUGGGAAGGCACAGACAGCCAGGAUGUUGGCUUAGAAGCAGCCAUCAUUUAAAGAAAGCGUAAUAGCUCACUGGUCGAGUCGGCCUGCGCGGAAGAUGUAACGGGGCUAAACCAUGCACCGAAGCUGCGGCAGCGACACUAUGUGUUGUUGGGUAGGGGAGCGUUCUGUAAGCCUGCGAAGGUGNNNNNNNNNNNNNNNNNNNNNNNNNNNNNNNNNNNUGGAGCUGAGACCAGUCGAAGAUACCAGCUGGCUGCAACUGUUUAUUAAAAACACAGCACUGUGCAAACACGAAAGUGGACGUAUACGGUGUGACGCCUGCCCGGUGCCGGAAGGUUAAUUGAUGGGGUUAUCCGUAAGGAGAAGCUCUUGAUCGAAGCCCCGGUAAACGGCGGCCGUAACUAUAACGGUCCUAAGGUAGCGAAAUUCCUUGUCGGGUAAGUUCCGACCUGCACGAAUGGCGUAAUGAUGGCCAGGCUGUCUCCACCCGAGACUCAGUGAAAUUGAACUCGCUGUGAAGAUGCAGUGUACCCGCGGCAAGACGGAAAGACCCCGUGAACCUUUACUAUAGCUUGACACUGAACAUUGAGCCUUGAUGUGUAGGAUAGGUGGGAGGCUUUGAAGCGUGGACGCCAGUCUGCGUGGAGCCAACCUUGAAAUACCACCCUUUAAUGUUUGAUGUUCUAACGUUGGCCCCUGACCGGGGUUGCGGACAGUGUCUGGUGGGUAGUUUGACUGGGGCGGUCUCCUCCCAAAGCGUAACGGAGGAGCACGAAGGUUAGCUAAUCCUGGUCGGACAUCAGGAGGUUAGUGCAAUGGCAUAAGCUAGCUUGACUGCGAGCGUGACGGCGCGAGCAGGUGCGAAAGCAGGUCAUAGUGAUCCGGUGGUUCUGAAUGGAAGGGCCAUCGCUCAACGGAUAAAAGGUACUCCGGGGAUAACAGGCUGAUACCGCCCAAGAGUUCAUAUCGACGGCGGUGUUUGGCACCUCGAUGUCGGCUCAUCACAUCCUGGGGCUGAAGUAGGUCCCAAGGGUAUGGCUGUUCGCCAUUUAAAGUGGUACGCGAGCUGGGUUUAGAACGUCGUGAGACAGUUCGGUCCCUAUCUGCCGUGGGCGCUGGAGAAUUGAGGGGGGCUGCUCCUAGUACGAGAGGACCGGAGUGGACGCAUCACUGGUGUUCGGGUUGUCAUGCCAAUGGCACUGCCCGGUAGCUAAAUGCGGAAGAGAUAAGUGCUGAAAGCAUCUAAGCACGAAACUUGCCCCGAGAUGAGUUCUCCCUGAGACUUUAAGUCUCCUGAAGGAACGUUGAAGACGACGACGUUGAUAGGCCGGGUGUGUAAGCGCAGCGAUGCGUUGAGCUAACCGGUACUAAUGAACCGUGAGGCUUAACCUU